UACGUAGGGGGCAAGCGUUGUCCGGAUUUAUUGGGCGUAAAGAGCUCGUAGGCGGUUGGGCAAGUCACGUGUGAAAUCUCCACGCUCAACGUGGAGGCGCCACGUGAGACUGCCCUGACUCGAGUCCGGUAGGGGAGCGUGGAAUUCCUGGUGUAGCGGUGAAAUGCGCAGAUAUCAGGAAGAACACCCGUGGCGAAGGCGGCUCUCUGGAACGCAACUGACGCUGAGACGCGAAAGCGUGGGGAGCAAACAGG
rnacentral:rRNA from 1 species